GGCCGAGUGGCGGAAUGGCAGACGCUCGGGAUUUAAAAUCCCGUUCCUUCACCGGAGUGCGGGUUCGACUCCCGCCUCGGCUA
rnacentral:tRNA from 1 species